UUACCUGUGCUAGUGGUAUGAUUCUCGCUUAGGGUGCGAGAGGUCCCGGGAUCGAUCCCCGGCUCAG
rnacentral:tRNA from 16 species